GAUCUCAAAUCAGGUAGGACUACCCGCUGAACUUAAGCAUAUCAUA
rnacentral:rRNA from 1 species